rnacentral:rRNA from 1 species
CAAUAGCGUAUAUUAAAGUUGUUGCAGUUAAAAAGCUCGUAGUCGGAUUUUGGCAUCACGCCGAACUGUCUGCCGAUUGGUAAGUACGGUUUGGCGGGUGCUCUCCUUCCGGAGGCUCGUUCCCUUCUUAACUGAAGGGUUCGUUGGUUCCGGGUCUUUUACUUUGAAAAAUUAGAGUGUUCAAAGCAGGCCGUCGCAUUGAAUACAUUAGCAUGGAAUAAUGGAAUAGGACUUUGGUCUUAUUUUGUUGGUUUCUAAGGCCGAGGUAAUGAUUAAUAGGGAUAGUUGGGGGCGUUUAUAUUCCGUUGUCAGAGGUGAAAUUCUUGGAUUUACGGAAGAUAAACUACUGCGAAAGCAUUCGCCAAGGAUGUUUUCAUUAAUCAAGAACGAAAGUUAGGGGAUCGAAGAUGAUUAGAUACCGU